rnacentral:lncRNA from 1 species
GUCCUCAAUGCUCUUCAACUUCUUACUGUAUUUGGCCUUCAAAACUUUUUUGUAUUCGAGCGUCACUGAUGAGUCUUUUGUAGACGAAACGCGCGUAUGGCGUAUACACUAAAUUUAGUCCUGGUAUCUAUGAUGAGUUUAUUUAUUAAACUAUAUAUUCUAAGUUCUGACUUUGUUUAUCAUAAUUGUAACGUUUUAAAGUGUUCUUUAAUUUGUCUUUGAUAAAUUAUUGAAAUUAAUGUUUAAUCCAUGUUUGGUUACAACCUUUUUU